rnacentral:lncRNA from 1 species
AACUUUACCAUAUUAACAUCUAAUUUUGUAUAUAUAAUUGUAAAUACUAUUUAAAAGGUAAACUGAAACACAAUACUAUUUUAAAAAAUUUAUUGCAGCUAACAAUGAUUCAUUAACCGGGCGGCUCCAAACCAGAAGUGAUCUGAGAGCUCCACCAAGUGAAAUGCAACAGGGAAGCUUUUACAAUCCUAUCAUUGAGGUGAAUAACAACAUCAAGAAGAAAAUGGAAGCUAUCAGAAAAGCCUCUACCAUCCCCACCACAUCUACCUGUCUACCUGUGUGUGUUCCUAAACUCCAGCUUCUCUCAUGAAAGAACUCUCCAUGCAUCUGGCUUAAGGUCAUCCCAUCCCUGAUCUCCACUUAAGGUUCAUGGCUGGAGGGAGCUUGCCUUGAGACUCAAAUGAGAUUUUGAACUUUAAACGAUCGAGUUGUUGCUGAAACAGGUAAGACUUUGCAGCUAUAGGGUGAUUGUAUUUCGUACUUGAAAAAGACAUGAGUUUGAGGGGCCAGGGGCCGAAUGCUAUUGGUUUGACUGUGUCCCCUCUGAAACUUAUGUUGAAAUUGGAUUCCCAAUUUGGCAGUGUUUGGAGGUGGGCCUACUGCGAGGUGUUUGAAACAUGGGAGUACUGCCCUCAUGAAUAGAUUAAUGCUGUCUUAAAGGAGUAAGUUCUUGCUCUUGCAGAAAUUAAUUAGUUCCCAUGAGAGUGGGUUGUUAUAAGUGAGCCCAGCCUCUCAUGCGUGUCCCUUUGCACUCAUCUGCUCGCCUUACUGCUUGUCUGCUAUGUUGUGAUGUAGCACAUGGCCCUAACUAAAAGGUGAGCAGAUAACAGUAUCAUGCUCUUGGACUAGAAUUGUCACCAGAAUUGUGAAACAAAUGAAUCUAUUUUCUUUAUAAAUUACCCAGUCUCAGGGAUUCUGUUACGGCAACACAAAAUGGACAAAGACAGGAGGUAAUUAGCAUUAGAUAAGAUCCUCAGGGUAGGAACCUCAUGAGAUUGGCAGCUUUAUAAGAAGAGGAAGAGAGACCUGAGCUGGAACAUUUGCUCUGUCUUGCCACAUAAUGUCUCUUGCCAAGUCAUGACACAGCAGGAAGGCCCUCAUUAGAUACCUGUGCCAUGCUCUUGGACUUCCCAGCUUCCAGAAGAGUGAGCUAACUAAAUCUCCAUUCUUUAUAAAAUUACCCAUUCUGCAGAAUUGAAAUAUCGCAACAGACAAUAUUUUAAGACAAUUACAUCUUCAGACAAUUAAGGCAUAAUUAAAACAAUAGAAAUGUUGAACUUACAGAAUGCAGGUGGUGGGAUUAUUGAGAAGGUGCUGGUCAAAAGACAUAAAAUUUCAGCUGGAUAAACCUAGAGUUUACAAGGGUAUUGGGAAAUGGAUUUUAAAAAAAUACUUCUGGGAGAGUAAUGUUGCAGGCUUUCAAAAAAGCAGUUUGCGUUAAUUAAGGUUUUUAAUUCUGUAUACUUCUA